rnacentral:sRNA from 1 species
CGGAGAAAUGAGAAAUGACCCCAAGUUUCUCCGGCCCCAUCUGGCCGGAUAAGCACGAGAUCACA